rnacentral:rRNA from 1 species
AUGACAAUACAAACACUUGCAACUGCUCCACCGGAGGUGCUGCUCGAGAAAGAGGAGGCCCAUGCCACCAUGGCCCUCAUCGGAGGAGGAGGAGGAGAAGGAGGGGGAGGAGAAGAGGAGGAGAUGAGAGAGAGCGCAGGGGCCAUGCACACACCGCUUUGUCACCGGAGAAGUAGGAGGCUUGCACCCACCGCCACAUCGCCGGAGGAGGGGGCCUGCGAUCUACUACAUUACAUGCCAAAAAGUGGUUGGAAGCACGGGAGUCGUGUGAGAAGUGCACGCAAGAGAGGAACAUGGUCGAUAAACACAAAACCAUGCUCCCGGGACUUGCGCUCUGCAAGUGAUGGCCAAAAACAUGGACGUAGAAGAAACAAUGACCAUUGGACAUCCGAAGAGGUGAAAGCACUAGUUGAUGGCAUAUCUGCAUAUGGGGCUGGACAGUGGGCUAAGUUGAAGAACGAAAGGUUUCCAAUAUCAAUUCGGAUGGCGAAGCAUCUUACGAACAAAUGGAGAAACCUAGUGAAAGCCUUCACGGGAAAUGUGAAAAGAAGGAUCUCGCCUCGUCUAGAUAAGGAUUGCAUCGAAAAGAUCCAAAGGCUAGCAGUUGUUUACCCUCGGAAAUGA